CACAGUGGAAAAAAAAAGCAGUCAUUUGCUGCUUCCAAAUGUAAGCUCUACUCCAGUUCGUGCUUGCUUUUCAUUGCUUUCUAGAGUUUUCAGGUAGUUUUUGUUUGUUUGUUUUUUGGCUUCUUAGGGCCCCGCCCGUGGCAUAUGGAAGGUCCCAGGCCAGGGGUUAAAUUAGAGUUGUAGCUGCCAGCCUACACCACAGCCACAGCAACUCAGGAUCCAAACUGCAUCUACAACCUACACCACAGCUCACAGCAACACCGGAUCCUUAACCCACUGAGCAAGGCCAGGGAUCGAACCCCAUCCUCAUGGAUACUAGUCAGUUUCAUUUCCACUGACCACAAUGGUAACUCCCCAGGUAGUUUUUUCAAAUAUUUUUUCCAGGAUUUUUAGUUGUUAUCUGCAGAAAAGUUUGUCCAAUAGAAGCUACUCCUCCAUUAUCAGAAAGCAGAACUUUGAAACUUUUUUUUUAAUAAGAAAUAUGGGCUUUAUUUAUUUAUAUUUGUUUUUACAGCUGCAUCUGUGGCAUACAGAAGUUCCUGGGCCAGGGAUCUAAUUGGAUUUGCAACUGCUGGCCUACACAACAGCCACACCAGAUCCAAGCUGCACCUGAGACCUACACCACAGCUUGCAGCAAUGCUGAAUUCUUAACCCAUUGAGUGAGGCACAGAUUGAACCUGAAUCCUCACAGACACUGUGUUGGGUCCUUUACCCGCUGAGCCACAACAGGAACUCAUGCAACAUUUUUAAUUCUAAUAGCUAACAUGAAUUUCCAAGACAGAGAAGAUAAUAUGCAGUAUUUUACUAACUGGUUUUGACCAGAGAGAUUUUAUUUGUUUGUUUUAAUGGAACAGCUGCAGAAUGACUGCUUUGCUCUGAGAAAAGCUGAGCGAAAGACAGCCUUAUUCAAGGCACACUUACAACUUCUUGCCAAAUACAGACCUUGCUUAUUAUCUACUUAGAUUUAAUGCUCACCUAAUUAAAUGCUAUAGGAAACAUACCUGCUUUAAAUGCCUUGCAAUUAAAGGUGAGAAUCUGACCUUUUUUAUAAGGUGAGAAUUGUAAGGGUGAGUGAUUGUCAUCUCCACUCAUAAUGUCUGAGCAUCUAGGUUUGUGUCAGUGGACAAGAGAAAAAUUAUGAAUAUGGGACUGUAUUCUGGCAGCUUAACACUUUAAGAUGGGAAUUCAGAUGAAAAUACAAAGAUGGUACAUGUAAUAUGUAUUAUGUGAAAGCAAAGCAAGUUUUGGUUUGUUUGUUUUUUGUUUUUUGUCUUUUCAUCUUUGGCAAGAUCCAACAAUAAGAGAGGACAUGGCACUUGGGGAGAUACUAAAUAACUUAGCAUGGUGGCAGUGGCAGUAGAUUGCUGGAGGAGAGAGGAGAGAGAAGAGGCUGGGGGUCGAAUCAGAGCUGACAGUCACAGCAACUCAGGAUCAGAACCCGCAACCUACUCCACGGCUCACAGCAACGCUGGAUCCUUAACCCACUGAGCAAGUCCAGGGAUCAAACCCGAGUCCUCAUGGAUAGUAGUCAGGUUCGUUAACCAAUGAGCUACUAUGGGAACUCUGGCAAAGCAGUUUUUACACCGACUGAAAGGAACUACUACUGACCAAUUCAUUACUUUUUUCCACACUAUCAACCCACUUAUAUUUUCCCAAUGGUUUUUUGAGCAUGGGAGGGGUGGUUUUUGUUUUUUAGGGCCAUACCCACGGCAUAGGGAAGUUCCCAGGCUAGGGUCAAUCAGAGCCACAGCUGCCAGCCUAUGCCACAGCUAUAGCCAUGCAGGAUAUAAGCCGUGUCUGUGACCUAUACCACAGCUCACAGCAAUGCCAGAUCCUUAACCCACUGGGCCGGGCCAGGGAUUGAACCAAAUCCUCAUGGAUACUAGUCAGGUUCAUAACUGCUGAGCCACAACAGGAACUCCCAACUUUUUAUUUUUUAAUUUAAACCAUAGAAUAACUGAAAACUGGUAUAAUAAAUACAUAUACCCUCUAACAGAUUCAAUAAUUAUUUACAUCUGCAUUUCCCAUAUUUGCUUUCACUCUGUCUCUCCUUUCCAUCCCCACCAGUUUGUGUGUGCAUGGGUGUUUUGUUUUGUUUUCAACGAAGUUCCAGGCCAGGGAUUGAACUGCUGCCACAGCAGCGACCUGAACCAUUGCAGUGACAACACCAGAUCCUUAACCCACCGCACAAGAGCGCACCCCACCAGUCUUUAAGGUACGUUGCAGGCAUAAGACUUCAUCUACAAAUAGCUCGAAAAAUAAGUUAAUUGCACAAUAUCACCUAAUGUCCAUUUGAGAAAGUCAUGCAGAUCUUCCCCCAGAUGAUGUCUUUGGGUAAGUUAAUUUUCCUCUUUAUGAUGCCGAACUUGGCCUCUGUGCACCAGAUUGAAUCUCAGAGACAGAGUUUUGGGUGAAAUGAUAAAGAACAGCUUUCUACUUUGCCAGGCAAAACUUACAGCAGUAAUGGCCUGAACCUAGCGUAUACCCAGAUUGGGACUUGAACCCAUGGUUUUAAAUUGGAAUCCCUCACCCAGUAUCUGGACUCACCGAGGCUCAGGUUCUUCAUGUCUCUGCACAGAAGGAAUUCAGCGAGAGACAAAGUGAUAGACAAGGAAUAGAUUUAUUAGGCUAGGAUGCUUGUAAGAGGGGCACAUGGGCAGGCAAGGAAGCUCUGCCCCAAGGAUCUGGUGGGCUACAGUUAUGUCAUUCAAGGGGAGUGGGGGUCUGGAAAAGAGCACCUCAUCCUUUCUGGGAGUGCUAGCUCCUCCUUGGUAUCCAGUAAAGUGUAUAUUCAAAUCAGCAGAAGGGUGGUCCUCAAACUCCUGCCCUAGGUCUGAAUCUGAGUACAGGCUUCAUCCCAUCUCCCACCCCCAACCCCCAAACAACCAGAGGCAAUUCUCACACCUCCACUAGUCAAGCAAGCCUGCCUUGUGCUGAUGGCUUUCUUUAGCAAUUUUUAACUGAAGCUGUCUUCCAAAGUCCCCUAAGUUUCCCUUUUUAUCUGUGGUCCCUCAUCAGGACUUUAACUACCUGUGCCUACCAUAUCCCUAUCAAAGGGUUCAAGGAUGGGGUUGCUGAUAUGGAUCAGGGCGUGUGCAGGGUCUGCAUUCCUUUAGUCUAUAGAGAUCAUCUGUCCUCAGGUAGUCUCCUGAUGGGCUUCGGUGGUCUCAAGGUUAUCAAACUGUGACCUUCUCUCUGGAAUGAGCAAUGUUUCAUCAGACAGUUAUCAUCUUCCAUUUGUUGUGGGGCUUCGUUCUGCAGAAGCGCUCAAAGAUACUGUGAGGUAUAUCCCUUGAGGAGGACCCAGGACUCUGCCCCAAGGCUGUCCUUGACUGCUCCUCCUGUGUCUCUGCAUCCCCUCCCUUCCCUGAUUAGCAACUGUUUGAAUCUGCCCUUUGGAAUUCAGGGGAGGUCUUGGAGGCCGGCUGAAGGAGGCCUAUUUUCUACAAACAAGAAAUGGGGGAGAAAGUCUUUCGUGCCCAAGGCUUGUCAACUUAAAAAAAAAAAAAGCAUAAUCUGAAAGUUGAGACUUAAGUUUUAUUUGGGGUGAAAUUAGGAUUUAAGCCCAGGAGACAGCAUCUCAGGUAGCCCUAAAGAAACUGCUCUGUGGUGAGGGGAGAGGUAGGAUAUAUGAGUUUUUGCAACAAAAGGAAGGUAGUAGGAACAAAAGAUUUACAGAUAACCAGAUUUACAGAAAACCAGUUUCUGUGGGAAGAUGUAAAGGUCUGGGCCUACUGGAAUCACUCUUUUUUUUUUUUUUUUUUUUUUUUUUUUGGUCUUUUUGUCUUUUCUAGGACCACACCCUCGGCAUGUGGAGGUUCCCAGGCUAGGGUCUAAUUGGAGCUGUAGUAACUCGGGAUCCGAGCCACAUCUGUGACCUACACCACAGCUCAUGGCAACACUGGAUCCUUAACCCACUGAGCAAGGCCAGUGAUGGAACCCACAACCUCAAGGUUCCUAGUCAGAUUCAUUAACCACUGAGCCACAAUGAGAACUGGAAUCACUCUUUUGAUAUGCACCUCAGCUGUAGGCCAGUCUUCUUUGUUUCUUUCCCGAGUUCCCUCAGGGCUUACUGGCUCACCUUUGUUCUCACCCUGACUAUGACCUCUUUGGUUUUGUUCACUUUACAGCCCAGGAGGCAGUAUUCCAAAGAGGAAAGGGGGAGUAAGUCAUCAAGCUGAAGGGUGUGGAAAGUAACAUAAUGUCUUUUCUAUCAAAGGAAAUCUUGGUUACUCCAUUUUGCUCCAGUUUCGGCUGAAACACCCCCCUGCGACCCCCUUCCUCUUUACCUUUUCUCCCAGCAACAGUUUGUUUCAACUGGCCAAUCGGGAAGAAUGUGCACCCUGACCUGACCAAUGGGAAGGGGACAGGUAUACCACCUGCUACCACCUGCAUUAGGGAUAAAGAGAGAGGGUCUUAGCUUCAGCGUGCACACUUUUUGAGCACCUGCGCCCUUCUGCAGAAGUAAGGAGCCUUGUCAAGAUGUCCCCUUGUCCACAUGUCUCACUUUUCAACACUGACGACCCGAGCCAGAGUUAUCUUAUUUGCCAACAAGGGGGAGGUGCAUGCAGCCAUGCACACAUUUUACAGAAGUUUGGCUGCUGGUCUCGUCAAGAUUUCUGUUGCCAAAAUUCGGCCUCUAUCUGCUGGUGCCAAAUUGAAAUGCAGAGACAGAGUUUGGGGUAAAGGAGAAAAAGAUAGCUUUAUUGUUUUGCCAGGCAAAAGGGGGCCAUAGCAGGCCAAUGCCUUAAAGACUGUGCCCGCCCCCCCCAAGUUGGGAAGAAUUGCAGGGAGUUUUAUAGUAAAAAGGAGAAAAAGGAGGUUUUCAGAUAGGAAUCAGGAUUGGGCAGACAUGCACUCUUCUUUCUUUGGGGGGAUCUUCUUCAUCAAAGCUGGAGUGGGGAGAUCUUGGUGUUGAGGCAGGAUGGUAACACUGUAGUUAGUGUAGGAGCGUGGGUUUCGUUGCAUUCUUUGAUGUGGCCAUUGAAAUCACUAACCCACUCCUCAACUGAUAGAAAAGGAAUGAGAGGAAUGGCGACUCUCAGUCUAAGAAGAGAAGAGCAAAGAAACCUUAAAACUUUUGGGGCAUUUCCACCUCUAAGACUCCUAUUGGACAAGGACUGAUAGAGGUAACUGGGCAAGGCCAAUGGGAGAAAACUACAUCCUUCUGGACCCCACAUUGGUACCCCCUCUUUAAGGGAUUAAAAACACCUAUAGGACAAUAGAGAGUGGGACUCUUCCUCCUCCUCCCAGUGUCUGUGCUGGGAGCUGUUUGCUUUCCUGUAAUAAAGACUUUGCUUGCUUGCUGCCUGUUGGUUCACGAGGUUGAUUCUUCAGCACCAUGAACAAGAACUCAGAUUCUGAUGUCAUCUUUCCAGCAUCAGCAUGAUCGUGGUGGUGGUCUUCUGGGAUAUUGCCUAGAAUAACGGUACUUGUGAAAUGGGCAUAUGACAAUGAGACACCAACAUCAAAUGCUUUCACUGACAUGCGGAAUCUGAAAAAAGGACAGACUGAACUUUGCAGAACAGAUGCUGACUCACAGACAUUGAAAAACCUGUGGUCUCUGGAGGAGACGGUUUGGGGGGUGGGGGGAUGUGCUUGGGCUGUGGGAUGGAAAUCCUGUGAAAUUAGAUUGUUAUGAUCAUUAUA
rnacentral:lncRNA from 1 species